ACAGCUUUUCUGUCAGCACUGCCAACACUACAGCGCAGCGUCCACAACUUCGUCUUUUUGAACAAACUGUCAGAUACAGUUGUCGUCAUUUUAAUAAUAAACACUCGGUCGCAGAACAGAACUGAAAAUUUUGCGUUCUAUUUUAAUUAUUGAAUCUAGUCAUUUAAACGAAGACUGUGAUAUAUUCAAGAGUUUUCCAAGGACCAAAAUAAAGAAUCAAUAUGCCUGACACCAACGAAACGAGUAAAACUUCUUCCAAUUCAACUAUUCUGAAAACUGUGGCAGGUGUAGCCAUUGGUGCCGCUGUUGCUCUUGGCGCAUAUUUUAUCGGACGCGAAGAGGGUCAAGAGGAAGCGAAACAAAGUUACCAACAUCGAGUUCAGUACGCGCAAAACAUGAAUCCCAAACCAAACAAAGAGGAUGACGACGAUGAGAAAAUUUCGAAAGACUGUGAUAUCUGUAAGGUCAGCUUUAAGCAGCUUAUGAACAGAGAUGUAGAGCUCCAUUCAACACCAUGUGGACACAUUUUCUGCAAAAAUUGUAUCGAUGCUAGCCUCGGCAUUUAUGCUAGAUGUCCGGUCUGUAACGAAGAACUUUUGCCCGGUCAAACUCACCGAGUUUAUCUUUAGAAGCCGAAUUUUGCUAAAUUAUCUAAAUAUAAAGUUAACAAAACGUAACAUUCGUUACUUUCAUUGUUAUUAUAGCUCGUUUAUGAAAGAAAUGAGUUGGAUACUUUAGGUUGGAAAUUUAAAAAAUUUUUCGGUUAUUUAUGAAUAAACAAAUUAGUUGAAUU